AACGAACGCUGGCGGCGCGUCUUAAGCAUGCAAGUCGAACGGCAAGAGAGAAGCUUGCUUCUCUCCUAGAGUGGCGGACUGGUGAGGAACACGUGGGUAAUCUGCCCUUAAGAUGGGGAUAGCUGCUAGAAAUAGCAGGUAAUACCGAAUACACUCGGCACUUCAUAAGAGGUGUUGAGGAAAGGAAGCUAUGGCUUCGCUUGAGGAUGAGCUUGCGUCCCAUUAGCUAGUUGGUGAGGUAAAGGCCCACCAAGGCGACGAUGGGUAUCCGGCCUGAGAGGGUGAUCGGACACAUUGGGACUGAGAUACGGCCCAAACUCCUACGGGAGGCAGCAGCUAAGAAUAUUCCGCAAUGGACGGAAGUCUGACGGAGCGACGCCGCGUGGAUGAAGAAGGCUGAAAAGUUGUAAAAUCCUUUUGUUGAUGAAGAAUAAGGGUGAGAGGGAAUGCUCAUCUGAUGACGGUAAUCGACGAAUAAGCCCCGGCUAAUUACGUGCCAGCAGCCGCGGUAACACGUAAGGGGCGAGCGUUGUUCGGAAUUAUUGGGCGUAAAGGGCAUGUAGGCGGUUGUGUAAGCCUGGUGUGAAAUCCUGGGGCUUAACCCCAGAAUAGCAUUGGGUACUGCACGACUUGAAUUACGGAAGGGAAACUGGAAUUCCAAGUGUAGGGGUGGAAUCUGUAGAUAUUUGGAAGAACACCGGUGGCGAAGGCGGGUUUCUGGCCGAUAAUUGACGCUGAGAUGCGAAAGUGUGGGGAUCGAACAGG
rnacentral:rRNA from 1 species